rfam:Gossypium hirsutum cultivar TM-1 chromosome 15, whole genome shotgun sequence
AUCCCAUGAUGAGUGAACUUAUGAACUAAUUCUUUGAAUCUCUCCCAUGCCUUUUACAAGGAUUCGUCAUCCAAUUGUUGAAAAGUGUGGUUAUCUCAUUUCGCAACUU